CUUCUGCAGCUCGACGGGCACCACGGCGCUGGGGCAGUGCUUCUCGAUGUAGUCCUGGAAACCCUGCACUCCCAUGCAAAUGCUCGCCUGGAUUGCUAAGUGUGCUCCGACUGAACUCCCAGUGUGCACAAAUUAGCAGACCUGAGCUGAGGCCAGCUACGUGCUGUCUUUGAGAGGUAACAUUUAAACUCAUGUAUUCCCAGGUUUUGUCAUUAAAGAUCCUUUAUUUGAUUUUCAUUCAUUUCAGAAAGGACUGAGGAUCCUGGUGUCUUAGGGUUUUCUGCCUGAUUUACGCAGAUUACUUUCUUAUCUUCAUUUAUUCUUUUAAAGAGAUACCACUUGAAAUUUACCCUGUGACUUUCUUGCCUUUAGUGUAAGUCAAGAAAGCGUUGAAAGUUUAGAGAAUGAUGUAUGUUUGAAUAAUGCGACUCUUUUGCAAGAGAUGAAAAGAGUUAAAAACCAGCAAGCUCCUCACUGGUGGACAGAAAACCUUACUGCUGAAAGUCGUACAAACAUGCAGCCUGGCCCGCGUUCAAUGUCUUGACUGCCAUAAAACUAGAAACAUUACUUAGCAUGAAUUCAUAGUCUAGUUCUGAAAAAGAAAGAAAAAAAAGGUAAAUAUUGCAUAAUUCUCAGUAAUGAGAACAUUCUUAUUUUCCAGAAGAUGUCAGUUUAAUUCUCCAGGUACUCUCGGUAUAUAGAGCAACUUUUGAUCUUCCCCUACAUAAUACAGCGCGGGAUACUGUCUCUUUAAAUUAAUUUAUAAAAUAAUUCGGGACUGUGGGUGUCUUUGAUCUGUUCCUCUCUGCUAAAGUACAGAAGAGAAGAACAUGUCGCUUAGCAACCCCAGCCGGGACUGGGGGGAGGCAGCGAGGGAUGCAUGGUCCAGAGUCACCAAAGGGAAAGAUGCAUCCCCACCAGAAAACUCAACUUCUGAAGAUGCUUCUCCAAAAUAAAGCAAGCAAAUAAACAAACAUGGGGGCUUGCAGAAUGAGAGAAAUCAACCAUCAAACCCCCCAGCCCUGCAUGGCUGAGUUGUGGAACGGAAAACUGCUGCAAAAAAACUGUGUAAGAGGGAGAAUGACAGAACCAGCCCACUUCAGUGUGCUUCACACAGAUGAAAAAUGUCUCCUAAUUAAAUAAAGGUAAAUGGUUAUUCCUGGUCUUAUAUUAAUGAUCAUAAAGGUUAUUUAAAAUCUUCUUAAUUUUUAUGCCACUUCCAUCUCCUAAUGACCUAUAACUUAUUACUGAACAUAUCACAGUACAGUUAAGAGAAGUCUAAAUAUUAGCGGUUCACAUUUCUCCCAGAGCUCAGUACAGUCAAUGCUGUGCUCAGAUUCUGUGGUAAAACUGCAGAUUAUUAGAGCAAAUGCCUACCCCAUCUGCAGGCUAGAAGCUUAUAUAAACUGGCAUCUACUGCAUAUUCCAGCAGUUACAUACAUACUCAAAACUGGACAUUAUUGCACUCUGAAGUAACACUUAAUUUUAUCUAGUAAGGGCAAUGGUAAAUGAUAGCGUGGACUUCAUUAAGACCUAAGUUUCUUAAAUAACUUAAUACAUAAGUAACAAGAUAAUUUUCUGUUACCCAUAUGUAGAAAAGACCUAUAGGUUAGAAUCCUGUCUCCAGUGAGAUCAAUGGGAAUUUCACUAGUUACUGCAGGGGCGCCUAGGUUUUACCCAGGCUCUCUGAGAGGCCGUUUUCUGUAUUGGCAUUGCUCAUGUAAUGUGAUUCUUUGGUGAAAUUUCAAUAAGAGAAAUAUGUAAAGCACUUGGCAUUAAGUGGUCUAACUUUGUUAACAUACAGCAUUUAGAAUGCAAUCGAAAUGAGAAGCAAAUUAUGAUAACUCAGCUGUGACCAUUUCAAUAAAAAAUUCUUCUGGAGAAGCUUGUAUAGACUCUGCAUUUUGGUUUUUAACAACUAUUUUCUGUAUGCUUUCAUUAUGAUCCAAACAAAUGUAGAGGCUCCAUUUGAAAUGUCUCAAGCUGAAGCAAACCCCAUUGACUUAACUUUAUCUGUGCUCUCAGUUACACCAGGGUCAACAAUUCUUUAGUGUAACAUAAUCCUGAAUAAGUACUUUUGCUGACUGCUGGAGUCAAGUGGGAGGAGGAGCCCAGCAACAGUGGAACCCUUUUACUUGUCCUUGUGUUUACAGUACCAGUUCAUGUACUUAGUGGGUUUUAUUUUUUGGAAACAGAAAUAUGUAAUAUCCAGGAGUCUGAGAUUACCUUAGUUGGGGAUUCUUCUUGUUACAUAAAAUUUAUGUGACUCCUCUAACAGACAGAACAUCUCCAGCUUUUCGAGCAGACUUCAUGGGACUGGUGAUAGUUUUGAAGAAUAUGUUUUGGACUACCCUGACAUAAAACCCUGUACAAUUAACAAAGCUUUCUGGUUAUGGCAUUCAAGUUACCAGAUCAGGAUGAUACAUGAAAAAAGCAUGCCGAUAAGGCAUCGUUUGCCCAAACAUGUCAUCAGAAAUUGACUUCCCAAAGGUAUGUCUCAAGCUGCAGAAUGAAACCACCGAUGUGUGAUAUUUUUCC